rnacentral:rRNA from 1 species
UACGUAGGGUGCAAGCGUUGUCCGGAAUUAUUGGGCGUAAAGAGCUUGUAGGCGGUUUGUCGCGUCUGCUGUGAAAAUCCGGGGCUCAACCCCGGACUUGCAGUGGGUACGGGCAGACUAGAGUGUGGUAGGGGAGACUGGAAUUCCUGGUGUAGCGGUGGAAUGCGCAGAUAUCAGGAGGAACACCGGUGGCGAAGGCGGGUCUCUGGGCAGUAACUGACGCUGAGGAGCGAAAGCGUGGGGAGCGAACAGG